CAGGCCUAACACAUGCAAGUCGAGCGGAUGACGGGAGCUUGCUCCUUGAUUCAGCGGCGGACGGGUGAGUAAUGCCUAGGAAUCUGCCUGGUAGUGGGGGACAACGUUUCGAAAGGAACGCUAAUACCGCAUACGUCCUACGGGAGAAAGCAGGGGACCUUCGGGCCUUGCGCUAUCAGAUGAGCCUAGGUCGGAUUAGCUAGUAGGUGAGGUAAUGGCUCACCUAGGCGACGAUCCGUAACUGGUCUGAGAGGAUGAUCAGUCACACUGGAACUGAGACACGGUCC
rnacentral:rRNA from 13 species